AUUGAACGCUGGCGGCAUGCCUUACACAUGCAAGUCGAACAGCAGCACGGGUGCUUGCACCUGGUGGCGAGUGGCGAACGGGUGAGUAAUACAUCGGAACAUGUCCUGUAGUGGGGGAUAGCCCGGCGAAAGCCGGAUUAAUACCGCAUACGAUCUACGGAUGAAAGCGGGGGACCUUCGGGCCUCGCGCUAUAGGGUUGGCCGAUGGCUGAUUAGCUAGUUGGUGGGGUAAAGGCCUACCAAGGCGACGAUCAGUAGCUGGUCUGAGAGGACGACCAGCCACACUGGGACUGAGACACGGCCCAGACUCCUACGGGAGGCAGCAGUGGGGAAUUUUGGACAAUGGGCGAAAGCCUGAUCCAGCAAUGCCGCGUGUGUGAAGAAGGCCUUCGGGUUGUAAAGCACUUUUGUCCGGAAAGAAAUCCUUGGCCCUAAUACGGUCGGGGGAUGACGGUACCGGAAGAAUAAGCACCGGCUAACUACGUG
rnacentral:rRNA from 1 species